rnacentral:rRNA from 1 species
AUUGAACGCUGGCGGCAUGCCUUACACAUGCAAGUCGAACGGUAACAGGUCUUCGGAUGCUGACGAGUGGCGAACGGGUGAGUAAUACAUCGGAACGUGCCUAGCAGUGGGGGAUAACUACUCGAAAGAGUGGCUAAUACCGCAUGAGAUCUACGGAUGAAAGCAGGGGAUCGCAAGACCUUGUGCUACUAGAGCGGCCGAUGGCAGAUUAGGUAGUUGGUGGGAUAAAAGCUUACCAAGCCGACGAUCUGUAGCUGGUCUGAGAGGACGAUCAGCCACACUGGGACUGAGACACGGCCCAGACUCCUGCGGGAGGCAGCAGUGGGGAAUUUUGGACAAUGGGCGCAAGCCUGAUCCAGCAAUGCCGCGUGCAGGAUGAAGGCCUUCGGGUUGUAAACUGCUUUUGUACGGAACGAAAAGCCCCGGGUUAAUACCCUGGGGUCAUGACGGUACCGUAAGAAUAAGCACCGGCUAACUACGUGCCAGCCGCCGCGGUAA